UCCGGCUUAUCACCGGCAGUUUCUUUAGAGUGCUCAACUGAAUGGUAGCAACUAAAGACGAGGGUUGCGCUCGUUGCGGGACUUAACCCAACAUCUCACGACACGAGCUGACGACAGCCAUGCAGCACCUGUGUCCAGGCCCCGUAAGGGGAGGAAUCCAUCUCUGGAAACCGUCCUGGCAUGUCAAACGCUGGUAAGGUUCUGCGCGUUGCUUCGAAUUAAACCACAUGCUGUGGACGGAAUCGACCCCGUCCGUGGCGAAGCUAACGCGUUAAGUGAGCCGCCUGGGGAGAGCUUAAUGCGUUAGCUGCGCCACUGAGGAGUAAACUCCCCAACGGCUAGCUCUCAUAGUUUACGGCGUGGACUA
rnacentral:misc_RNA from 1 species